UACAGAGGGUGCGAGCGUUAAUCGGAAUUACUGGGCGUAAAGCGUGCGUAGACGGUAGCGUAAGUCAGAUGUGAAAGCCCCGGGCUCAACCUGGGAACUGCAUUCGAGACUGCUCUGCUCGGGUGCGGAAGAGGGAAGCGGAAUUUCCGGUGUAGCGGUGAAAUGCGUAGAUAUCGGGAGGAACACCAGUGGCGAAGGCGGCCUUCUGGACCAGUACUGACGCUCAUGCACGAAAGCGUGGGGAGCAAACAGG
rnacentral:rRNA from 1 species